UGGGCUAACUUUUCUGCAUAAUCAAUUGCUUGCACUUUAAACAACAUAGAAUGUCAUCAGUCUAGAGAGUAUAGAGAGAUAGCCUAGUGGUAACUGUUUAUCUUGUGUCGUCUCAAGUCUUGCAUUCGAUUUUCGCUCACUCAUGGUUUAUUUAGAUUUAUUUGGACAUGCUCUAAUAAUGUCAAGGUUUGGAGAAAGCCGGUUUUAGCACAAAUUGUGAAUCUCUGUAACUGACCAAGUCUUGGUUUCAAUUUUCACGCACCCAAAAUUUAUUCAGAACAUGCUCUUAUUAUUUCAAGGUUCGGAGAAUCAUGAAUCAUGAAAAAUAUUUUCUUUCUAGACCAACUCGAGCAUUGUUACAUAAUAAAGAUAAGAGAGAAAAAACGUAAUCAAUAGUAGAAAUCUGUUCUUUUCCUAUAGACUCCAGGUAGACUUGGUGAAACUUGAGUAGUCUCUGUCUCUGUUAGCUGUGUAUAUUAAUAGGCAGUUAAGAGAGCCAAGAAACUACAAAGUUUGGCAUUGUUGAGAGAGUGACCUACAUACAAGUUUCUUCGUAAAAGAGAAAUCGGAGGAACAUGGUGCUAAAGAGAAGCAUUCACAAGGUCAAGAAUGUGUUUCACAGAAGGCUGCUGAACAUCAAGUCAUUAGUCUCGAAAAGGUGGAUAUUUUGUAUAGGGAUAUAUCAGAAGAAUCAGAAGCUGAUCAUGAUGAAGUAGUGGAGGCGAAAAAGAGUAGUAGUGUCACAAAGAGCAUACAGAAGGUAUCUAACAGAAGCGUGAGAAGUAAUGCAGAAAAGAGUAUUAGUAAAAGUACGCGAGAAGAGAGGGUGAAGGAAGAGAAGAAGCUUGCAAGGGGAAGGGGACGUGUAUUAGCAGAGAAGAUUAAAGAACUCGAGAUGGUGGAUGCCUAUGACGAUGAUCAUAUUAUGGACAUAGAAGAAGCUCUGCAUCACUAUUCACUCCUCACCUGUCCAGCUUACCAAGAUAUCGUGGACAAUUUUUUCAUGGACAUGUACUCGGAGUUUCUACUUCCAGAGCCUUCUGCAAGCAUCAACAACUCGAUGAGAAGACUCCACUCUAUGAGGCUGUAGAUAAGAAUCUGAAAUCUUCUAGGCCUUCUAAGCGCGGUAUAUAUUAUAUAAAAUUAAAAUUUUCCAGUCUUGUUUUCUUUGAUUGAUCCUCCAGGUGUAUCUGGGAACAAGCUAUAGAAUUAUAGUUAUGAUAAACCUUUGAUGGUAAAAAAUUUCUCUUCUUAUUA